rnacentral:lncRNA from 1 species
CAGACAACUGAUUUAAUGGUAAAAAAUGCAUCAAAACCAGGAACACAUAACCGGUCAAGCCCCUACUCUUUUUAACACUUGACCUCCUUGAGUCCAUGUGCGAGGUACAAAAAGGUAGGAUCAGUGGCGCCAUCCUUGUAGUAGGCAAACACCAUUCCAGUAUCAUCAGCCAUGCUCUCACCAACAAAGAAUUGAAGGUCACUGAGCUUUGACAAAAGGUACUUGGUUGCUCCUUGAAUGUUGUUCUUAAAAACUUCUUCCUGCUCUGCGCCUAACUUGGGUGUUAGGUUCUUGAUAUAUUUCUUCAUGUAGGCAACAAACUGCUUCUUGUCAAAAGAAGGUUGCUCCUGAAGCCUGAAAGUGUCAACAAUAUCGACAACCUUGAUGGCUUGAUCGUCAACACCUUCGUCUUCAUCUGCACCUUCAGCAGAUGGAUUCGCCCCGAUGUUCACAUCAACAGC